rnacentral:lncRNA from 1 species
UGCCUGGGACUUACGAAUUUUGCUUGUACAAGAUUUAUUAUCUUAUUUUAAACUACAGAAUUCCAAAACACAAGGCAAACCCGGGCCCAAAGGUCUUUGUAGAAGUGGUAGCAGCUGAGAAGGGGACGUUCAUAAUGGCACAUGGAAAUUGGAGGCGUGUGGAGAGAAAACAGACUGUGGGGUCUGAAGACCUGGAACUGUGUACCAGUCCUAUAGUUAACAAGCUCAACCUAUCAGCUGAGGAAUAAUACUUUUCUUGCAUUAUAUCAUGGAGAAAGCUUCAAUUUUAUGCUGAGCAAACCUCAGGCUCAGACCCUUUGGCAGGCAGCAGUAUCUAGCUGGAAUUUAAAAAUCACUCCCCUCACCUCCCGCGGCAUUUGAUGUUAAGGUCACUACUAAUUAUGGCAAGUGAUCCUGCUAUUCCAUUUACAAAAAUAAUACAAU